rnacentral:rRNA from 1 species
AUGCAGAUUGAUUGGGUUCAAAAGUGGAUGUCCUUUUACUACCAAGGAGAUACAGUUACAUUGCAAGGGCUGUUACCUGAAGAUGUAGCAGUUACAGUGUUCUCUGUCUCUCUGAUCAGACCUGUGGAACAGAAAGUUGUUCAGCCAGAGUUGCAAGUUUUGCUGGAUAAGCAUGCUGUAGUGUUUGAAAAUCCAACUACACUACCUCCUAGAAGACUUAAGGAUCACACUAUUCCAUUGAUUCCUGGAGCCAGACCAGUGUCUGUUAGGCCCUACAGGAUUGCUCCACAUCUGAAAGAUGAGUUGGAAAAACAGAUUAAAGAGCUGCUGGAUUCAGGGAUGAUUAGGCAUAGUAACAGUGCUUUUUCUUCUCCUGUGUUGUUAGUUAAAAAGAAAGACGAAGGAACUUGGAGGAUGGUAGUUGAUUAUAGACAACUCAAUGCUAUCACAGAAAAAGGGAAAUAUCCAGUGCCUGUAAUAGAUGAACUUUUGGAUGAACUUGCAGGAGCCUGUUGGUUUUCUAAGCUGGACUUGAAAGCUGGAUAUUAUCGGAUCAGAUUAGCACCAGGAGAGGAAUAUAAGACUGCAUUUCAAACUCAUAAUGGACAUUAUGAAUUUACUGUGAUGGGCAUGGGUCUGACAGGAGCACCUGGAUCAUUUCAAGGGCAAAUGAAUUUUGAUCUGUCUCCAGUCUUGAGGAAGUUUGCCUUGGUUUUCUUUGAUGAUAUUCUGAUAUUCAGUAAGACAUUGGAAGAACACUGGAAACAUUUGGAUGAGGUGCUAUCUAUUUUGCAUAAGGAGCAGUGGAAGGUUAAGAUGUCUAAAUGUGACUUUGCUCAGCCCAAGAUAGCAUAUCUAGGGCAUGUUAUUUCUGCAGGAGGGGUUUCCACUGACCCUGAUAAGAUAGUGGCUGUUCAGCAAUGGCCUACUCCAAAAAAUGUGAAGGAAGUGAGGGGUUUUCUUGGUUUGAGUGGUUAUUAUAGAAAAUUCAUUAAACAUUAUGGGAUUAUUGCAAGGCCUUUAACUGAUUUGCUUAAGAAAGGAGUUCCUUUUGUAUGGACCAGUGUUACAGAGGAGGCUUUUGUCACACUUAAGCAUGCUUUAGUGUCUGCUCCUGUAUUGGCCUUACUAGAUUUUAGUAAGCCCUUUAUGAUUGAGACUGAUGCUUGUGAAUAUGGUAUUGGUGCAGUGCUGAUGCAACAGGGACACCCACUGGCAUUUGUUAGUAAAACUUUGGGACCCAAGAAUAGGGCUCUGUCAGUAUAUGAGAAAGAAUAUUUGGCUAUUUUAUUGGCAGUGGAUAAGUGGAGGCCUUAUUUGCAAGUUCAGCGGUUCACUAUUAAAACGGAUCAGAGAAGUUUGGCUCAUUUGCAGGAUCAAAGAUUGCAUACAAUCUGGCAGCAGAGGUGUCUUGCUAAACUUCUUGGAUUGCAUUAUCAGAUUCAGUACAAACAAGGUACAGCAAAUAGUGCAGCCGAUGCUCUGUCCAGGAGACCUCCUGAUGGUUCUCAGUUGUUUUCCAUUUCCAGUAGCCAACCCACAUGGUUAGUUGAAAUUAUUGAUAGUUAUAAACAUGAUGAACGAGCCCUGACAAUUAUGCAACAACUAGCUGUGCAACCAGCUUCUAAGCCACCCUACAGUUUGGUUAAUGGUAUUCUGAAAUAUAAGCAGAGUAUUUGGGUUGGCUCUGUUCCUGCAUUACAUCAGAAAAUUUUCUUUGCUUUUCAUGAUAGCCCUUUGGGGGGUCAUUCAGGUUUUCCAGUGACAUACAGAAGGAUUCAUGCUCUGUUCACUUGGUCUGGAAUGAAGAAGUUCAUCUUAACACAGGUGCAGUCUUGUGUGAUAUGCCAGAAAGCUAAACCUGAAAGAGUUCCUUAUCCUGGCUUGUUAUCUCCCUUGCCAGUUCCACAUAAAGCCUGGGAUACUGUGUCUAUGGAUUUUAUUAAUGGUCUUCCCCAGUCAUCUCAGUACAACUGCAUUUUAGUGGUGAUUGAUAAAUUUUCUAAAUAUGGUCAUUUUAUUCCACUCAAACAUCCUUUCAAUGCUCAGAAGGUGGCUGAGGUGUUCUUGGAUAAUGUUUACAAGUUGCAUGGUCUGCCUAGUGUGAUCAUAUCUGAUAGAGAUCCACUUUUUACUAGUCAGUUCUGGAAAUUGUUAGUUGCAAAAACAGGGACUCAAUUGAAUAUGAGUACAGCAAAUCAUCCUAAAACAGAUGGGCAGACUGAGCAAGUAAAUCAGCAAGUGGAGUGUUAUUUGAGAUGUUUUAUCAGUGCUCAACCACACAAAUGGAGUAAAUGGCUGCCUUUGUGUGAAUUCUGGUACAAUUCCAAUUGGCACUUUGCUUUGGGGAAAUCUCCUUUUGAAAUUUUGUAUGGGUAUACUCCCAGAUAUUUUGGCAUCUCUGCAACUGAUACAAUUGCUCCAUUGGAAAUGCAAGACUGGUUGCAAUCUCGCCAAGCGGUCACAAAAACAGCUCGACAACACUUGUUAAGGGCACAACAACGUAUGAAAAAUCAGGCUGACAAGAAGAGAACUGAACGGGUUUUUGCAGUAGGGGAUCGUGUCUUUCUCAAGCUGCAACCCUAUGCUCAGUUGUCAUUAUAUUCCAGGGCAAAUUAA